UUCCCUUUGGCCUCGCACUCUCACCCCGCACGUUCACGAAAUGUGUAGAUGCGGCUCUGGUCCCCCUGCGCAUGCAGGGCAUCCGCAUUCUCAACUACAUCGACGAUUGGUUGAUUUUAGCUCAGUCAGAGCAGGCUGCGGCUCGGCAUCGAGAUGUCGUUCUCGCACAUAUGGGGGAGCUGGGUUUGAGACUGAACGCCAAGAAGAGUGUACUUUCUCCAGUUCAGAGAACCACCUAUCUAGGCGUAGUAUGGGAUUCGACCACGAUGCAGGCACGAUUGUCCCCUGCUCGUAUCGAGUCGAUCCUCAUCUCAGUCGAGAGAGUCAAAGAAGGCCAGUCACUCACUGUCAAACAAUUUCAGAGAUUGUUGGGUCUGAUGGCAGCUGCGUCCAACGUGAUACCUCUUGGCCUGCUGUACGAGACCCCUACAGUGGUGGCUCAAGACCAAGGGAUUUUCCCCGAGGGGCAAUCCACUUCGAACUAUCAAGGUCACGCGGCACUGCCUCCGUGCCUUAGACAUGUGGAAGAAACCUUGGUUCUUGAAUCAGGGCCCGGUGCUGGGAGCUCCUGGUCGCCGUGUAACACUAGCGACAGAUGCAUCCCUCACUGGUUGGGGUGCAGUCAUGAGUGGCCACCCUGCCCAUGGUCUGUGGAGUGGUCGCCAUCUGACAUGGCAUAUCAAUUGUCUAGAAAUGCUAGCAGUUUAUCGUGCACUGAAGCACUUCCUCCCAGACCUAAGGGGUCACCAUGUGUUGGUGCGCACCGACAACACUCUUACAUCAACCACCAGGGAGGUCUGCGUUCAUGCCCCUUGUACAAGCUGGCGCACCAGAUCCUUGUGUGGUCCCAGGACAAACUCCUCUUACUCAGAGCAGUGUAUAUUCCUGGGAAAUUGAAUGCGGGAGCAGACAUACUGUCGAGGCAGGGGCCGAGGCCCGGGGAAUGGAAGCUUCACCCCGAGGUGGUGGAGCAGAUAUGGAGAGUAUUUGGCAGAGCUCAAGUAGACCUCUUUGCGACUCAAGAGACAUCACAAUGUCCCCUUUGGUUCUCUCUAGUUCAUCCAGCUCCUCUGGGACUGGACGCUAUGGCACAGACCUGGCCGAGGCUUCGUCUGUACGCCUUUCCCCCUAUUUCUCUGCUCAGGGGUGCCGGGGGGUAUGUUUUUUUUGGGGGGAAAUUCUGUACAGAAGAUGUGUACUAGCGCCCUCUACCAUAUAAUAAUGAAAACAUGGAUUCUAGGAGCACAAGUAUAGCUCAAAUAUAUUUAGACUUUUUGUAAGUAUAAGUCAAGUAUACUUAAAUGUCAUAUAAAGUAUAUUUCUGAGGAGUACAUAAAGACCAUUUUUUGAGAAGUACAUAAGUCAACUAAAAGCAUACUUUCCUAUUUUUAGUUUAAAAGAAGUACACUAAUAGCAUACUUGAAUAAACUUAUUUUUCGUAAGGGAGGUGACAGAAGCUUCUAAACACAGGCUGUUUAUUGGUGGUUUUAAAGAAUAAAAGAUUCUGCACAAAAUUAGACUUUUAGGGGUUGAAUAAUUUUGAACACGAAUGUUUGAAGCCAAUUUGAUUUUUAUCAUGCUUCAUCAAUGUUACAUUCUCAGAAUCACUCAAAUGUGUAUUAAGAAACUUUCUCAAAUAGUUCACUGAUGCCUUUGUUGAAUUGUUUUCAUAAAAUGUC
ensembl:lncRNA